rnacentral:rRNA from 1 species
GAUGAACGCUGGCGGCAUGCCUAAGACAUGCAAGUCGAACGAGAUGGCCCAGUGAAGGUGGAGUGCUUGCACAAACUGAAUCUGGAUUACCAUCUAGUGGCAGACGGGUGAGUAACACGUGGGUGACCUGCCUUUUCGUUGGGGAUAACAGUUGGAAACGAUUGCUAAUACCGAAUAAGAUAUAAGAGUCAAUCUUAUAUUGAAAGAAGCCUUUAAAGCUUCGCGAUUAGAUGGGCCUGCGGCGUAUUAACUAGUUGGUGAGGUAAUGGCUCACCAAGGUAACCGAUGCGUAGCCGAACUGAGAGGUUGAUCGGCCACACUGGGACUGAGACACGGCCCAGACUCCUACGGGAGACCAGCAGUUAGGAAUAUUCGUCAAUGGGGGAAACCCUGAACGAGCAAUGCCGCGUGAGUGAUGAAGGUCUUAUAGAUUGUAAAACUCUGUUGUAUGGAAAUGAUAUCAAGCUGACGGUACCUUAU